AUGGCUCCAUGGCUUUGUCCACUCUGUUCAGGCUUGUUGGGAUGUCCGCUCCCCUCUUCCCACUUUGACUUGAUGGACACUGAGUCCUCAUUUGGUACUAAAGGCACUGCAAGCUUUCCCUACUCCUGGAAGCCUUUUCUGACUCCCUUCCUGUCCCCUCCCAGUUUAGAUUGGCUUCUCUCUCCAAAGCUCUGCUGCUCUGCUUUAUAUGGACUCCUAACCGUAUGCUUCAUUACACUGAGUUACCAGCCCUCCUUGCCUCAAACCUGGAAUCCCUGAUGUGGGGCCACGUCCAUGAAGAAGUACCAGGGACCACCAGCUGGACCUAAUUAGUAUGUUCUUCCCUAGAAGAUAAGAAUAUGUAAUUAGGAAAGAACUACUUACAUCUGAAAAAUGUACACCUCACAUUGGGCUUCCAUUUGUGAGAAAGGGGAUUGGAAGUUGUAGCAAAAUCCUAAAAGAGGAAGAAAUGAAAAGAAGGCCGUGGAAGCAUUUUGACAACUUGUCUUCCUAAGGUUGACUUGGGCCCAUCUACCCACUGCAUAUCCCCUUUUUCUUCCUCAAGGAACCUGACCCCAAAUUCACAGAUUUCAAAGAAAGCUGAGAGAGAUGUCACCAUGCUAUCACUUUAAACGGCCAGGAGGCAACGGUCUCUUUCUGGGUGCUAUGCAAUCAUAAGGAUUAUUUCAGGACUUAGCAGCUGGAAGGCUGGACAACACAAAGUAUCUGCUUGUUAUUUCAAUAAGGGGAGUUGGGAAAAAAGUCUUCUUGUCUGACUAUCCUCUGGGAGAGGAACCAAAAGUGGUGAUGUCUUCCUAUGAUUCAGAGAUCUUUCUGGCUUCCCACUGGGAAAAGGAAUUUCCACAAGGAGUUUUCAAUUUGCUGCCUCUGUUCCUGGUGAAUAGAUGUUCACUUUUAGCAGAGUUAAGGGCAAGGGGAUUAGGCCCUUCGGUGUUCAUUGCUCAGGAUUCAUAAUUAUAUAAAAUAAUUGGUAAAUUCUAUAAUAUAAUAUGUAUUUUCAUUGUAUUUACAUACUUACAUAUAAUAUGCAAAAAUUAUAUGGAAGUUUAUAAAUUAUGUAAAUAAUGUAAAAAACCAGGUCUUAAAUAUUGUCAUUCCCCUUUUUCUACAGUUUCCUUAAGAUCUGCUUUCACUGGAAGUAGGAUAAAGUGACUUCUCAGAGUUAUAGGGAUUUUCCCAAAGAAGCUGUGAAUGUGUGAAGCUGGGAGUGCUGUUGGAGAUUAAUAUUUUGAACCAGAAUCCAAAGAUGUGUGUUUUUCUAGAGUUAUGGCAGAUGGGGAUAGUAGGAUUAUAUUCUUUUAAUUUCAAACUUCUUUUUCUUUAAAUUUAAUAUCAGUACUAGGCACAGAACAUUUUCAUUUUCAAAUCAUGGAGCAAACCCUGCAUUCACUUAAACUGUCAUUAACUGAUAUUUCUAGGGAGAUAAAGAGAAUGAUGGGGUAAAAGUAAAAAAAAAAAAAAAAUCCCCAGCCAAAUAAGAGAAAGGAACAAGAGAAGGAGGAGCAGGGAAAGAAAGAAACACACACCAACACCCCCAAAAGGAGGAAGAGGACCCAGGAAAGGAUAGCUGUUCUAUCAUAGCCCCAGUCAGCAAAUUAUUGCUAAGUUAGUUUCAUUGGUAUAGGGAAGAGUAAGGUCAAUAGACUACUGUUCUUUUUUUGAGGUAAGAUUUUAUUUCUUUAUUCAUGAGACACACAGAUAGAGGCAGCGACAUAGGCAGAAGGAGAAGCAGGCUCCCUGCAGUGAGCCUGAUGCAGGACUCGAUCCCAGGACCCCAGGAUCACAACCGGAGCCAAAGGCAGACCCUUAACCACUGAGCUACCAGGUGUCCUAAUACACUACUGUUCUGAUGAGAGAUUUAACUCUCAGUAUUUCAGAGUUUGCAAAAAACAUUCCACUCCAGUGAUUACAAGAUGGGAAAGAAUAAUGAUGUCUAUUGGUGCUGCUUUAGGGGUUAUGAUCCCCUGAAUUCCUGUCUCUACCAAAUGCUUAUGAUGCACCUACUAUGUGCAAAGCACAGGCAAGGCAUUUAUAGUAUAAAGAUGAAUAGGUCAUUGACCUUCCAUCAAAGUGACCUUGAAUUCUCUGAAGGGAUAUGAGCCAAAGAGAGAAAAGAGAGGCCAGUAAAACUGAUUGUUGUCUUGGAUGAGUCCCUUUUGCCUCAAGGUUCCGAAGUGCUACACAACUAGCAUUAUGAAUAAUUUUUAUAUCCUUUCCUACUUUGUGGUUUCCCUCCUUCCCUGCCUCCUUUCCUCCUGUCUUUCCUUCCUAGUUUCCUCCCCUCCUCUUUCUUUCUCCCCAGACUCUUCUCCAUCUCCCUCUCUCUCUUGCAUGCUUGCCAUUAUCUGAUUAAGGAGGUUUGCUAGGAUGUUUUUUAAAAUCACUAAAAUAUUGUUAAUUUUAUGAAAAUUUUUUCCAUCCAUGAAAGUGAUUAUAUUGUUUUAUCUUUCUUUAUUCUGUUAAAUUGGGGAAUCACAUUGGUUGACUUUUAAAUGAACUAACCAUGCACACUGAGAAUAAACACAACCUGGUUGUUCUUUUUAUGUAAUUUCCAGAUUUGGCUUACUAAUAUUCUGUUUUGGAUGUUUGCAUCUGUGCUUAUGAAUAAGAAACUGGUCAAUAAACUUUCUUUUUUUUUGAGAUUUUAUUUAUUUAGUUAUGAGAGACACAGAGAGAGAGGCAGAGACACAGGCAGAGGGAGAAGCAGGCUCCAUGCAGGGAGCCUGACGUGGGACUCGAUCCCAGAACUCCAGGAUCACGCCCUGGGCCGAAGGCAGGCACUAAACCGCUAAGCCACCCAGGGAUCCCUAAACUUUCUUUUUUAAUAAGGCCUUGUGUAUUUAUUUUACAUCAAGAUUAUAUUGGCUUCAAAAAUGAACUUAGAAUUUUUUUUUUUCUAUUCACUGGAAGAAUUUGGCUAAAAUUAGUUUUAUUUGGAAGAAUUUUCCUUAAAUGUUUGGAAGAAUUUUUUGGUGAGGUUACCUGGGCCUAAAGUUUCUCUUUAUCCAUUAAUUAGGAUUCAACUUCUUUAGUGAGUAGAAGACUAUUCAUAUUUUCUGUAUCUUCAUGUAUCAGUUUUAGAAACUACACCUUUUAUAUUAGUUUCCAUGCUAUAAAUAUAAUUUUAGAAAUUUAUCCAUUUAACCCAAUUUCCAAGUGUAUUUGCAUAAAGUUAUUCUUCAUAUUUUUAUAUUGUCCUUUUAAUACCUGUGUUACUUGUAGCAGUGUCCACGUUCACAUUCUUGAUAUUGCAUAUUUCCCCUUUUUUAUAUUCUCCUUUUUUUUGGUCUAGUUAGGUAUUUAUCAAUCUUAUUACAUCUCUUCAAUGAAUCAAUUAGUGACUUUGUUGAAAGUAUCUUUAUUGCUUCUUUGUUUUCUAUUUCAUUAAUUUGUAUCCUUUUAAAAUUAUUUCCUUCCAAAUUUAGGGGCUUUAAUUUGUUAAAUUUUGGGGAAUUUUAACUUUUCUUAAAAAUUAGUUUCUUUAGGGGCACCUGGUUUGCUCAGUGGAUAGAGCAUGCAACUCUUGAUCUCAGGUUGUGCAUUUGAGCCCACAUUGAAUGUAGAGAGAACUUAAAGUUUUUUAAUCUUGUAAAAAAAGCUAAUUUCUUGAGAUAGAUUCUUUGUUAAUUGAUUUUCACCUUUUACUCUUUUCUAAAACACGCAUUUCCCUCAUAUGGCUUUAUUUUCAUUACAUAUAUUCUGAUGUCAUGUUUUCAUUAGUAUUCAUUUUAA
rnacentral:lncRNA from 1 species